AUUGAACGCUGGCGGGAUGCCUUACACAUGCAAGUCGAACGAGUGGCGGACGGGUGAGUAAUAUCUGGGAACCUGCCCAGUAGCGGGGGAUAACUACUCGAAACGGUAGCUAAUACCGCAUACUAUUGGAUCUGCCCAUAUGGGAUUAGCUAGUUGGUGGGGUAACGGCUCACCAAGGCGACGAUCCCUAGCUGGUCUGAGAGGAUGACCAGCCACACUGGAACUGAGACACGGCCCAGACUCCUACGGGAGGCAGCAGUGGGGAAUUUUGGACAAUGGGGGAAAGCCUGAUGCAGCCAUGCCGCGUGUAUGAAGAAGGCCUUCGGGUUGUAAAGUACUUUUGGCGGAGAAGCGGUAUCUGCAGAAGAAGCACCGGCUAACUACGUGCCAGCAGCCGCGGUAAUUC
rnacentral:rRNA from 1 species